rnacentral:lncRNA from 1 species
GCCCGGAAAAUCAGUAGUGCUGGGACACACGGCAGCAGCUGCCGAUGCUGGGGGUGGUACAGGAUGAACCUGAACUGGCCUGGGAUGUGGCUGGGACAGGAGAAGAGCACGCUUGGACAAGAGCCACCUUUAUAUGCUGUUAUUCUGACUCUGCCUGUCUCUUUAGAGUGACAAAUCGAGCGGGGUGACUGUGACUCCCAGCCCUUUUCCCUGAAGUGCUUGCUCUGCAACAUAGGAAAAAGUGACUUGGAUGAAGAUUCUGGUGCCAGCUUUGUUCUCCAGAAGGAAGCUCUGCUGGAAGGUAGGAGUCAUGAGCCUGAAAAAGCCAGCACUGCUCAACACAGCCCUCUGGAAUUUGGAUGCUCUCCCUCACUCCCCCUGUGGUCUCCUGUUGCUGCUUGCCUGGGGGCAUGGCAAGGUGUUUCAUGUUCUCUGGAGUUGGAAAGCCCUUGUGAAGACCUUGCUCCGUCUAGCCAGAGCAGAGAGGCACAUUGUGCGAGGGAACAUCAUCUGCAGCCAAGCUGGGAGUAAUGCACAGUGAGAUGCUGAUUUUGGACACAAACUUGCAGGAUAUAACCCCACAUCAUAUGCUGACUCCUUUCAAGUUGGAAAAACAUGGAUGAACCCCAGAAACAGCUUGCUUGCUCUUUCCAGUUAAGCACUGGAAGCACCGCAGCCGAGACAGGCACAGUGGUACCGUGUCCUGCAGCCCCAGUGGGGACUGGCACUGAUUUAAGCAGGGCACUUGUUCUGGCUUGCUUGGCCAGGGCUCAGAGUUUGAGCUUUUAUGAUCACAACAAUCAGGUUGCCUUGCCUGGACCCUGAUUAGUACAUAGCUUGGCAAAACGUACCGCACGCACUGAUCCCUGCUUGUGCUUUUGUUUGACAGAGAGGAGGCCAAAAGUAGUUUAAGGCUGUAGCCAGUCGCAGGCAGGCCGUAGCCAUGUGCCCCAUUUUCCAGCUGUGGCAACCCUGGGGGUGAAGGAGCUGGAGGAGCCAUGGCCCGGAGGGCUCUCCCUGGGCACCACUGAAAUAGGUGCUGGGGGAAGCUGCCUGCGGCUCGCUAAUGAACUAUUGAUGGAUCUGCGGCGUACAUUCAAAAUGAGCCCGGAGUGAUGGGGUUAGAUGGCAGCUCUGCCAGCGCGGGGCUCUGCCCGUGUCCGUAACGGGCUACGAUGGUGUUUUGUGCUUUUCCCCAGGGAGCAGGCGGGCAGGGCCGGCGCUGGGGCUGCCAGCGAGGCGCUGCGGGUG